rnacentral:tRNA from 1 species
GGAGGGGUAGCGAAGUGGUCAUAACGCGGCGGUCUUGAAAACCGUUUGGGUUCACCCCCACAUGGGUUCGAAUCCCAUCCCCUCCGCCA